GGGGGGCCAAAAAAUAAUGAAAAAUCGAAGCUUACCGGCGGCGGUGCUCUCGGGUGCGGCGACUCUCCGGCGUGGUUCGUGUUUUGGUGAUUUGGCUUCGAUCAACCUGUAGAGAAAAGAAUGGUGAUCACGGUGAUAUAAAAAUUGUAUCAAACGGAGGCCGGAAAGGGCCUCAUCGGAGGCAAAAACUAAGGAGGGGCGCGGCGGCGCCGCUGGGUUUCGGCCGUGUUUUCCAGGAGUUUGGCUCUGAUUUGGCCACUGGAGAACUCAGCAUUGAAAAACGAGCCGGGAGUAUGAAAUUUACCUCGAUCGGCAGUCGGAAAACUCCCCGGUACGGCGGCGGGUGGCGGCGGCCGGCUCCUCCGGCGUCUGGUUCGUCUUCUCCGGCGAGGGCUGGCGGCUAGGGUUUUUGUGGUAAGGUGUGGGGGUUUUAUUUAUUCCCUUUGCCUUUUAAUCACAGCCGUCCAUUUUGAUUUAAUCUGGGCCGUUCGAUCGCGAUUUAAUUUGGAUUAAAUCUGGG
rnacentral:lncRNA from 1 species